GACGAACCGUCCUAACGUUGUUCGGAAUCACUGGGCUUAAAGGGCGCGUAGGCGGGCUCUCAAGUCCGGGGUGAAAUCUUUCGGCUCAACCGGAAAAUAGCCUUGGAUACUGGGAGUCUCGAGCGAGGUAGGGGCGGGUGGAACUUCCGGUGGAGCGGUGAAAUGCGUUGAUAUCGGAUGGAACGCCGGUGGCGAAAGCGACCCGCUGGACCUCUUCUGACGCUGAGGCGCGAAAGCCAGGGGAGCAAACGGG
rnacentral:rRNA from 1 species